rnacentral:lncRNA from 1 species
AAAACAACAACAACAACAACAACUCAAACUAAAUUCCCAAAAAAAUAUUAUCUAAUAAAGUAUCAGCCAAAAUUGAAAAUCUAAAGCGGAAUAUUUAAUAGAAACAAACCAAUGGUGUGAUCGACAUAAAUUAAAGAAAUAUUAAGAAAAUAAGCAAGACAAUGCAAAAUUAAUCUGACGAUCAAUAGCGUAUAGCGAUAAAAUAAAUAAAUAAAUAAAAUAAAAUAAGUCGAUCAAUGCAAAUUGUUAUAUUCUAUCUUUAGUAACCUACGACAUAAAUCCCGAAUGUUGAAGAAAACACAACUUCCGGUCAAUGACAAAGAAAUAUACAGAAUUAAAUCAUACCCAAUUGAUAUUUGAAGAUUUCAAAAAAGCCGAGAUGAGAAAUGCAUCCACAUUCUUGAUCGAAAGUAAAAUAUAGGGAAAAAUAGAUCGAAAAUUACGAAUUGACUUGGUGUUGAUGUUCUUUUGUCUGGUGGAGGUUAUGAGCCCUUAAUUAUCAAAAUCCAAACACAAAGUGAAAUGUAAGUAACUAAAAGAGUUAAGAAAUUGGAUUAAAAUUUGAAAAAAGAAAAUAAUUGAAAAAGAAAAGAAAAACAAACUAUGUAUCAUAAAUACAAUUCGAAAACAACCUUAGUGAACUCUAAAGAGAAGAAGAAAUGAUGAUGAUUGUUUGUAGUAAUGGAGAAGUAGAUAGGCAUGGCUGUAGUAUAUGAAAAUGGAGAAAGAGUAAAGAGGAGCUUUGUGCUAGAAUCCAAGCUGCGUGAAUUGAGGAAGAUCAAAGACGUCAUUGUAUCAAACACCAAAACGACAUCUCUUUACUAAUUCUGAAGGCAAAAUAGCGUCGUUUUGUCAACACAAGAAAAGGCGAAAAAAAAAUGGAAGGGGAUUGAAUCACUAUUACAUCUAAGGUACACUCCUCAUUGCCAACACACCAAAUUAUGCCCAGGGGAUGCAAUGAUAGAGAAAAUUAAACAAAUGUUGAAAUGAAUAAAUAAUUUUAUUGAAAUAUAAAGAUUGAUAGUACAAUAUUGAAAUAAAAAUUUGAAAUACAAGAUUGAAAUUUGAAAAAUUAAGAAAAUUUAAAUAUACAAGGUUUUCUCAAACUUUCUUGAAACUGUUUUAUCUCCCGC